AUGUGCGCUGACAUGAUAGAUCUGAAGAAGGCAAGGACAAGAAUCAAGGAACUGGAGGAAGAACUCAAGGCUACACAUGAAGAUUAUGAAGAGGAAAUCGAAGUAUUAGUGGGGAAGAAUGACGAUCUGAUCAAGAAGAUCGGAAUAUUUAUGGGAGGCCCUACACCAGUAGAAGAAGACGAACAACCCAAGGAGAUUCGCCCAGAAGACUACAUCAUCAUCGAUGACACCGACUCGGAUCCAGAUGAUAGCAAUGAUGACUAUGUUGAUGAAGCUGGAGCAGAUAUCAUGGAGUCUGCAACCGAAGAAUAUUUCUAG
rnacentral:rRNA from 1 species